rnacentral:rRNA from 1 species
UACGUAGGGUGCAAGCGUUAAUCGGAAUUACUGGGCGUAAAGCGUGCGCAGGCGGUUCUACAAGACAGAUGUGAAAUCCCCGGGCUCAACCUGGGAACUGCAUUUGUGACUGUAGGGCUAGAGUACGGCAGAGGGGGAUGGAAUUCCGCGUGUAGCAGUGAAAUGCGUAGAUAUGCGGAGGAACACCGAUGGCGAAGGCAAUCCCCUGGGCCUGUACUGACGCUCAUGCACGAAAGCGUGGGGAGCAAACAGG